rnacentral:rRNA from 1 species
UACCAGACUCCUACGGGAGGCAGCAGUGGGGAAUAUUGGGCAAUGGGGGAAACCCUGACCCAGCGACGCCGCGUGAGGGAAGAAGGUUUUCGGAUUGUAAACCUCUGUCCUUGGUGACGAUAAUGACGGUAGCCAAGGAGGAAGCUCCGGCUAACUACGUGCCAGCAGCCGCGGUAAUACGUAGGUGGCAAGCGUUGUCCGGAUUUACUGGGUGUAAAGGGCGUGCAGCCGGGCCGACAAGUCAGAUGUGAAAUCCGCGGGCUUAACCCGCGAACUGCAUUUGAAACUAUAGGUCUUGAGUGCCGGAGAGGUAAUCGGAAUUCCUUGUGUAGCGGUGAAAUGCGUAGAUAUAAGGAAGAACACCAGUGGCGAAGGCGGAUUACUGGACGGUAACUGACGGUGAGGCGCGAAAGCGUGGGGAGCAAACAGGAUUAGAUACCCCUGUAA